GCAGCGCCGAGCAAACCGGGUUGUUGGCUCUGCUGCUUUAUUCCCGCAGGCCGGGCUGCUCCAGCUUCUGCUCCUUGGAGUGCUGGGGCCGUCUGCAGCGAAAAAGUCCGCGCCGCUUUGGCCCCGAGCCCGGGGGGAAAAAAAAAAUAUACUGAGCCUUCGCCUCGGAUAACUCGGGGAGGAAGAGCGCAGCCCCUGACGGAAGAAACGCUCGGGGGGCAAUGCGGAAGGAACCCGAAAUGCGCUAAGGGAUGCGUUUUAAGAUUUGAAAAAAUAAAAAGGGAACGCGCCAGGAGCGGCGGGCAGAGGUGCCUCGGUGCUGUCACCGCGCUGCUGAGGGUCCUCCGUCCCGCUCCCAGCAAGGAUCCGCCCUCUGCGCCCUCCCUGAGCCCCUGGAGGUCCCCCGCGUUUUGUUCCCCGAUCGGCGCCACCGUUCCCGGCCGAAACCAGGCUCCGGGUGCCUUGGGUGCCGCCUGGCGCCGGGGGCUGCGCCGGGCUGGGGGCGAGCCGAAGCUCUCCAACAGCCGGGGAUGGAGCAGAGGACGCGGGAGGAGCACCCCACGGAGAGGAGCACCCCACGGAGAGGAGCACCCCACGGAGAGGAGCACCCCACGGGCGUUCGGCAACAACCGUGGGCGAGGGAAGGAGCUGGAGAGCUGCGGAGGCGCCGCAGGGCCGCGAGGCACUGACCCGAACGGGCUGCGGGCCAGGCAGCACCGCAGCACCCAGCCCUCCCGCAGCGCGCUGGGGGCUCCCGUGCCGCUGCGUCCCCUCCCCAGCGGGCGUUUUGGGUGUGUUUCUUUUUUUGCGGGGGGCGUUUCCCCCCGGCAUUCGUGCGCGGCGCCUGCGAGCGGGGCAGCGCUUCUGCUUAUUUUUGUUCCCCAUGAGCCGUGCCUCGCGCCUGGCGGCUCUGCCCCGUCGGACUUCGCCUCGGGAGCGGCCGCCCCGUGGCGUCGCGGCGGGGCCGGCUCAGCCCUCGCCCUGCUCGGGAGUUUCGGGGCGUGA
rnacentral:lncRNA from 1 species